CUAUCUGAGAGUCCUGCCCAACACUGAGGAGCUUGGAGCCUCCUGGAUCGCAUAAGCUAAGCAGCGAGACAGCUAAGCUAAGUCGGGUGGGCAUGGCCAGUCAGGGGGACCUGGAGCGCGGUGGCCCCGGGAGGCGGGUAUGAAGCUCGCCGAGGCCGUUGCCCGUGGACAGCAGCUGCGUGCGCCGUGGGGUCCCUUGGCGCGGAGUCCGGAACCUCAGAGCGGUGUCCUGGCUGCCAACUCGGAGGCGAGGCAUAGCGCUCAGCCCCAGGCGGGUGAGGGAAGGGUGCGUGAGCCAAGGGCGCGAAGACAUCGCAACGGAGGCCCAAGGGCGAGGUCCAACGGCCCAACCCCUGCUGGCCUCGCGCGCUUCGCGCCUGCUCUCGCUUGGUGGCGGGCGUUUGGCACCGAGCGGGCCCCCGCCGUAGGUGGCGACCGACCAGGUCUGCAGGGGCUCGCCCAGCACCGGCCCCCGGGGGCAGGAGCGUCCGCCACCUCUGCCUAACGCACCAGUAAGACCAUUUGGAUCUGCAGUUUUCUUCCUGGAAAGCUUUGGAGACUCGAAACUCAAUAUCAAGUUGCGGGCAGGGUUGAUUUCCCGUGAGCUCUCUCCUUGGAUUGGGAGUGGCUGCCUUCUCGCCAUAUCCGCAUACGGAGGUCAUACGAGGUCAUAUUGCUGUCCGUGUCCCCAGGCUUCCGUCUGGAACCCUAAGCUCCUGGAUGUACUUGUGUGCGACCCCCCUCCCGCCCCCGGCUCAGCGCCUGCUGCUGGCAGAGGGAAAGCCCGGGACCCCUCUGGCCGUCCCCAGGGAAGCCGCUGGACCUGCCUGCGGUGCUGACGCAGCUGCGGGAGCCCCGUUUCCCACACUCUGGCAGACAUGGUGCGUGUCGGACGGCUCGCUUUUGCCUUUUUGAUUGGUAGAGUUACAGACAGUGAGAGAGAGAGACAGAGAGAAAGGUCUUCCUUCUGUUGGUUCACUCCCCAAAUGGCCACCACAGCUGGAGCUACGCCAAUCUGAAGCCAGGAGCCAGGUGCUUCCUCCUGGUCUCCCAUGCAGAUGCAGGGCCCAAGCACUUGGGCCAUCCUCCACUGCACUCCCGGGCCACAGCAGAGAGCUGGACUGGAAGAGGAGCAGCCGAGACUAGAACCGGUGCCCAUGUGGGAUGCUGGCACUGCAGGCAGAGGAUUAAUCAAGUGAGCCACAGCGCCGGCCCCACAUUUAAAUUUUUUUAAAGACAAAAAUUUCCGAAUAUGUUUUCCUGUGCAUAGCCAGGAGGGAGAAGAGCCCGGAGGGGAGAACGAGACAUCCCUUCCUGUGAACCUCACUUCUUGUGAGGCCGCUGUCCCUUACACCCAAAAAAGAGAGUUCAGGUGUCAGCAUGUGCAGUUACAAAGUGCAGCUGUGCCACAUGUAUUUGGUGAAAUACAGAACCCAAAAAGGUAAGUUGUCUACCUCAAUGUAUCACUGUUCAUAUAAGUCAGUUCCUUCCUCCGCAGCUGAGAAAAACAGCAAAGAGGAUCACUGAACAAGAGCAGGCAGAUACAGAUCCUAGAUAGACCCUACAGAUCUUUCUCUUAGAGUUGCUUAGGUAUUGUUUAUUUCACUAUAAGAAAGUAAAUAGAUCAAACACCAAGCACUCGGCUUGCUUUCUCUCUCCAUCUCUCUCUCCCCCUCCUUCUCUCCCUUCCUCACCAAAGCUGAGCAAAACAUAUAACCAAAGAGGACUGAUGAACAAGAACAGGGAUGUUUAGAUCCUAGCUAGAUCCUAGAUGUCUUUGCAAAUAUUAGAUAUUAUUUCUUUCACUGUAGGAAAGUGAAUAGGUCAGGCACCUCUCUCUCUCUAUACACACACACACACACACACACACACACACACACACACACACAUAUAUAUAUACAUGCACUUACUAUAUAUAUUUUUUAUUUUUUAUUUUUUUUUGACAGGCAGAGUGGACAGAGAGAGAGAGAGACAGAGCUGGAUCAGAAGUGGAGCAGCCGGAUCUCAAACCGGUGACCACGUGGGAUGCCAGCCUCACAGGCGGCAGUACUCGUUUAUGUGGCCGGCCGGGAAGGCCACAUGCUCAAAGUGCUCUCUUACAUCAGUGUCAGGCGCCUGACCCCAGCCCCUGCCAUCAUCUUUUACGGGAUCGUUGCGACCAUUUAUAUCAUUCCUGGUGACAUAAACUCCCUCGUCAAUUACUUCAGUUUUGCCACAUGGCUGUUUAUGGCCUGACGAUUCUAGGACUCAUCGUGAUGAGGUUUACAAGGAAAGAACUGGAAAGGCCCAUCAAGGUGCCCAUCUUCAUCCCCAUCCUGGUGACCUUCAUAGCUGCGUUUUUGGUCCUGGCCCCAGUCAUCACUAACCCAGCGUGGGAGUAUCUCUACUGUGUGUUAUUUAUCCUGAGCGGCCUUGUAUUUUACUUCCUUUUCGUCUACUACAAGUUUGAAUGGGCUCAGAAAAUCUCAAAGCCCAUCACCAUGCACCUCCAGAUGCUCAUGGAAGUUGUGCCGCCGGAGCCAGACCCCAAGUGACAAGUUUGUGUCUUGUAACCAACUCAACGCUGUGAGGAGUUUAUUUUUGUAAGCAGUAUUUGUGGUAUUUCUUCCUGAUUUUUUUCUUAAGAAGAAUUGUAUCAGAUGCUUAUGUAAUAUUAUUUUUGGUAUCCUUAAUUGUCUGGGUGGGUUCCAGGCGUGUACGGUGACCCCGGCAGGUGCAGCCACGGCCCAGCGGCUGCUGUGUGCCUGCCCGAGGGACACAACACGCUGCCGCGAAUAAAGCGCAUUCCUGCAUCGCCGCCAGCA